CUAGCCUGGUGGAUAAUUGUAGGUUGUGGAAGCAUUAUUCCAUUAGGUUCCAGGUUCGAAGGCUGGUAUCCGUUGAGAUGGUGACUUUGAUGAAUCAUGAUUGCAUGUGUUGUACGUUUGUGCGUGCGUACGUAUUUAUAUGUAUAUAUUUCAACAACAUGAGGUACUUCAAAAUACCUCUGUUUUUU